rnacentral:rRNA from 1 species
AAUCAACGCUGGCGGCGUGCCUAACACAUGCAAGUCGAGCGCGAAAGGGGAGCAAUCCCCAAGUAGAGCGGCGAACGGGUGAGUAACGCGUGGGUAAUCUGCCUCCGAGUGGGGAACAACAUCGGGAAACUGGUGCUAAUACCGCAUGACAUCGUCGGGUCUUCGGCCUGACGAUCAAAGCCGGGGACCGCAAGGCCUGGCGCUUGGAGAGGAG